AGAUUGAACGCUGGCGGCAUGCCUUACACAUGCAAGUCGAACGGUAGAGUAGCAAUACUUGAGAGUGGCGAACGGGUGAGUAAUAUAUCGGAACGUGCCCAGUCGUGGGGGAUAACGUAGAGAAAUUUACGCUAAUACCGCAUACGAUCUAAGGAUGAAAGCGGGGGACUCGCAAGAGCCUCGCGCGAUUGGAGCGGCUGAUAUCAGAUUUAGGUUGUUGGUGAGGUAAAAGCUCACCAAGCCGACGAUCUGUAGCUGGUUUGAGAGAACGAUCAGCCACACUGGACUGAGACACGGCCCAGACUCCUACGGGAGCAGCAGUGGGAAUUUUGGACAAUGGGCGAAAGCCUGAUCCAGCAAUGCCGCGUGCAGGAAGAAGGCCUGGUUGUAAACUGCUUUUAGGUACGUAACGAACGGUACCGAUUUAACUACAGACGGACUAAUGACGUAACCGUAAGUAAUAACGACACCGCUAACUACGUCGCACGCAGCCGACGUAAC
rnacentral:rRNA from 1 species